rnacentral:tRNA from 1 species
UUCCUGAAAGCCGUGUUGGUUUUGAUCUUUUAAAUCGAAGAAUGAAGAUAUUUUCUCUGGAUA